UGCAAGUCGAGCGGACGGAGGGGAGCUUGCUCCCUGAAGUCAGCGGCGGACGGGUGAGUAACACGUGGGCAACCUGCCUGUAAGACUGGGAUAACUUCGGGAAACCGGAGCUAAUACCGGAUAAUGCACAGCCUCUCAUGAGGCUAUGCUGAAAGAUGGUUUCGGCUAUCACUUACAGAUGGGCCCGCGGCGCAUUAGCUAGUUGGUGAGGUAACGGCUCACCAAGGCAACGAUGCGUAGCCGACCUGAGAGGGUGAUCGGCCACACUGGGACUGAGACACGGCCCAGACUCCUACGGGAGGCAGCAGUAGGGAAUCUUCCGCAAUGGACGAAAGUCUGACGGAGCAACGCCGCGUGAGUGAUGAAGGUUUUCGGAUCGUAAAACUCUGUUGUCAGGGAAGAACAAGUGCCGGAGUAACUGCCGGCACCUUGACGGUACCUGACCAGAAAGCCACGGCUAACUACGUGCCAGCAGCCGCGGUAAUACGUAGGUGGCAAGCGUUGUCCGGAAUUAUUGGGCGUAAAGCGCGCGCAGGCGGUCUCUUAAGUCUGAUGUGAAAGCCCACGGCUCAACCGUGGAGGGUCAUUGGAAACUGGGGGACUUGAGUGCAGAAGAGGAAAGUGGAAUUCCACGUGUAGCGGUGAAAUGCGUAGAGAUGUGGAGGAACACCAGUGGCGAAGGCGACUUUCUGGUCUGUAACUGACGCUGAGGCGCGAAAGCGUGGGGAGCAAACAGGAUUAGAUACCCUGGUAGUCCACGCCGUAAACGAUGAGUGCUAAGUGUUAGAGGGUUUCCGCCCUUUAGUGCUGCAGCAAACGCAUUAAGCACUCCGCCUGGGGAGUACGGCCGCAAGGCUG
rnacentral:rRNA from 1 species